UGCGGGCGUGGGCCAGUGGUCUAAGCCGCCGGGCUCAUAACCCGGAAGUCCCCGGUUCGAAUCCGGGCUCCGCAACCA
rnacentral:tRNA from 1 species